UGGGCAGUGCCAUCUAUGAGGCAAAAACCGAAAGUGUCGCCAUCUAGUGGUCAGUUGGGUGCCGCGAUUGGGGUAAGAAUUUUCGGAGACGAAGAGGCAACAGAGUCAAUUGUCAUGAUCCCGGAAAACGGAGAGUUAUUCUAUGGGGGCUAACUUAGCUUCCCGCCCAGAGCCACGAGCUGCUGGCUUUCUUUCCCUUUUCGGCAGCCAUCGAGUGCGGUUUAGUUCAGUUUGGCCUUGUGUAAAGUGACGGAUAGAAUAUCCAGAUUAUAUAUAUAGCGCUAAAUCCUGUUUAUGGGUUUGGCGCUUAGUAUCCGAUAUUGGAUCCGGCCGUUGCUGUAGAGGGAACAAUUCAUCAAGUCCCCCUAAAGAAGAGCGAAGUCAUCCGACGGAGAAGGGAAAUUAUCGUCGCAUAAAGGGGUCUCAAAGGCCUAAGAGUUCCCUAAGAUAAUUAUUUAAUCAGCUUAAGUCGCUGGGAGCGGAGUUAGGACUAAGAGAGGGCAAAAGAGUCAAAAAGAACUCGAGAUGUAACACCUGCCCAAAUUACACAUAAUAUUUAUAUUCCCUCUUCAUCAUCUUCGUUAUCUCCC